UACGGGGGGGGCAAGCGUUGUUCGGAAUUACUGGGCGUAAAGGGCUCGUAGGUGGCCAACUAAGUCAGACGUGAAAUCCCCAGGCUUAACCUGGGAACUGCGUCUGAUACUGGAUGGCUUGAAUUCGGGAGAGGGAUGCAGAAUUCCAGGUGUAGCGGUGAAAUGCGUAGAUAUCUGGAGGAAUACCGGUGGCGAAGGCGGCAUCCUGGACCAAUUCUGACACUGAGGAGCGAAAGCCAGGGGAGCAAACGGG
rnacentral:rRNA from 1 species